AACGCACGAGACCUGCGGACCUGCGGAGGGAUCAUUAUUGAAUAAACUUGGUUAGAUUGUCUGCUGGCUUCAAGGAGCAUGUGCACGUCUAAUCCAUUUUUAAUCAUCCCCUGUGCAUCUUGUGUAGACCUGUAUAACAACAUUCGAGCCGAUCGUGGCUCGGUUUAGAAAUUGCUGUAUUUCUUAUUCAGCUUUUUUCUGUGUUUUUUUAGGGUCUAUGUCUUAUAUAUUACCCCAUAA
rnacentral:misc_RNA from 1 species